ACGUCGAGAGUGUAAGGCGUACCAUCGCUGCCCGGAAAGCAGAAGCUGCGGGUUCGAGUCCCGUUUGGCGCA
rnacentral:tRNA from 1 species